UCGACUGCUUCAUUCACGUCACGCAUCACGCGUGGAUUUCGUUGAUUGACAUGACGUUAGUGCAGGUUUGCGUUAGUGCUAGUCCGUCGUUCUUGUCUUUUCUUUAACGUAUAUACGAUUAUACGUUAGUUAGUCAUUACAGGGUACACUUUUUCCUGACAUUUUUCGUCAUAAGGUAACAUAGCGUACAAUUUAUACUUUGCAAUUCCAUCUGACCAUGUGGCCUGGAAGGCUGUAACUGCUGUACAAUUUUCCAAAAUGUCGUCUCUUGCUGCAUUCACCGGCUUUACGUUUCCUUUUAUGCAGAAAUACUUUAGAACAGUAAAAGCAGCCUGGUGAAGUCUGAGCUUCUUCAUUGCAGUCCAAUAUGCACAUGGAUUUGUUGCAGUUAGCUGGCGAAAGGUGUUCCUCUUGCGGUUGCAGGCUUGCUACCUGUACCAGUUGUAACUUUCAUCACAUGCAGAAAAAGAACAAUUUAAAUUGUGGAAAUUGAACCUUGGAAAAGCUUGCCAACUUUAGGUUCCUUUGCAACAUUUAUUCUGAAGGAUUUUGUAGUUUAACUCAACUUCGAUCAUUUUUGUUUUGUCAUUUGAGAAAUUGUUGCUUGAUAGUAAUUGAGUUUUUUUUUUAAUUGGAUUAACACCAUGGUGGAAUUUGAGCUUCUUUGUUGCUGCCCAAAUUACACAUGGAUUUGAUGCAGCCAGCUGAUAUAGGGUGUUCCUCUUGCUACGUGUACCUGUCAUUUUCUUCUUCAUUCAAGUCUAAUUCACAUGUAGAUUACUUCAGCCAGACUGUUGAAUUUGACAUGGUUGAUCGUUUAUAUUCGCGUAGUUGCUGUCCGAUGUGGCACGUUGUUGCAGCCUAUGCUGCUGAAAGAUCUUUCUACAUACACAAGUUCAAUUGGCCGUUCCUUGGUGCUGGUUUCGUGUUACCGAAAUUGCAUCAUUAUUUUGUUAAAUUGUCAUCGAGACUAUGCAGUUUAUCAUCGUUAAAAGUUAAGAAGCAGUAAAAACAAGUUUGGGAUGUUUUUGUCAAACAAAAAAUAAACAUGUUUUCGGGGUUGGGAAAGAAAAGUGGAGGAUGUUGGAGAUGGAGGAGGAUAUCUCAAGUUUAGAUAAAAAAUCAGUUAAUCUAUAACCCUACAAACAUAUCCCUACCAACUAAUUUGCAAACCCCACAAACUUAUACCUUCCCAUUCUUCAAACCCCACACCUACCAACCUCUAAAUUUAUACCCUAAACCCCAUAAACCAAUGUAAUACCUUAACAAUGCAAUGUAUUUAAUAAAUAAAAAUAAAUAUA